GUGCCAGCCGCCGCGGUAAUACGAAGGGGGCUAGCGUUGUUCGGAAUUACUGGGCGUAAAGGGCGCGUAGGCGGCCUGCCAAGUCUGAUGUGAAAUCCCUGGGCUUAACCCGGGAAUGGCACCAGGGACUGGUAGGCUUGAGGACGGGAGAGGAUGGUGGAAUUCCCAGUGUAGAGGUGAAAUUCGUAGAUAUUGGGAAGAACACCGGUGGCGAAGGCGGCCAUCUGGUCCGUUUCUGACGCUGAGGCGCGAAAGCGUGGGGAGCAAACAGGAUUAGAUACCCCCGUAGUCC
rnacentral:rRNA from 1 species